UGAAGCUUAUAGUUAAAUGCGUAAGUUGAGAUGAGUUACUGAAAGAUCGAAUCUACGGAAGAGAGAAAUAAGAUAAUCAUACUGCCAAGAAAUAAUCUCUAAGCGUUAAUAUAUUAUCGGACCGUACUGUAAACCGACACAGGUGAGUGAGUUGAAAAUACUAAGGCGCUCGAGAUAACUAUCGUUAAGGAACUCGGCAAAAUGCAUCCGUAACUUCGGGAGAAGGAUGGCCUAACCUACAUUAGUAGGAAGGUUGCAGAGAAUCGGUUCAAGCGACUGUUUACCAAAAACACAGGACUCUGCGAACACGCAAGUGGAAGUAUAGGGUCUGACACCUGCCCGGUGCCGGAAGGUCAAGAGGAGAUGUUAGUCGUAAGGCGAAGCAUUGAAUUUAAGCCCCGGUAAACGGCGGCCGUAACUAUAACGGUCCUAAGGUAGCGAAAUUCCUUGUCGGGUAAGUUCCGACCUGCACGAAUGGUGUAACGACUUGAACACUGUCUCAACGAUAGACUCGGUGAAAUUGGAAUAGCGGUGAAAAUACCGCUUACCCAUGACUAGACGGAAAGACCCCGUGAACCUUUACUGUAGCUUGAUAUUGUUAUUUGGUAAACGAUGUGUAGGAUAGGUGGGAGACUUUGAAGCGGGUACGCUAGUAUCUGUGGAGUCGACGUUGAAAUACCACCCUUUGUUCACUAAGUAUCUAACUAUUGUCUUGAUCCGGCAGUAGGACAUUGUCAGGUGGGCGGUUUGACUGGGGCGGUCGCCUCCCAAAGAGUAACGGAGGCGUACAAAGGUUCCUUCAGCAUGGUUGAAAUCAUGCAUAGAGUGCAAUAGCAUAAGGGAGCUUAACUGUAAGACUGACAAGUCGAGCAGAUACGAAAGUAGGUUAUAGUGAUCCGGCGGUAGCGAGUGGAAGUGCCGUCGCUCAACGGAUAAAAGGUACUCCGGGGAUAACAGGCUGAUUUUGCCCAAGAGUUCAUAUCGACGGCAAAGUUUGGCACCUUGAUGUCGGCUCAUCGCAUCCUGGGGCUGGAGAAGGUCCCAAGGGUAUGGCUGUUCGCCAUUUAAAGCGGUACGUGAGCUGGGUUCUGAACGUCGCGAGACAGUUCGGUCCCUAUCUGUCAUGGGCGUUGGAUAUUUGAGAGGAGCUGCUCCUAGUACGAGAGGACCGGAGUGGACAGACCUCUGGUGUACCGGUUGUUCUGCCAAGGGCAUCGCCGGGUAACUAAGUCUGGAAAGGAUAACCGCUGAAAGCAUCUAAGUGGGAAGCCUGCCUCAAGAUGAGAUAUCCCUGAGACUUUAAGUCUCCUAAAGAACCGUUCGAGACUAGGACGUUGAUAGGUUGUAGAUGUAAGUACAGUAAUGUAUUUAGUCGAGCAAUACUAAUAGUUCGUGAGGCCUGGCCAU
rnacentral:rRNA from 1 species